UCAAAAUGAUGAGAUUCCACUUCAUUGGUCCGUGUUUCUGAAAAAAACAUGAUAUUUGUGGGAAUUCUGAUUUG
rnacentral:snoRNA from 1 species